AGAUUGGAGAAGAAUAUGGUCCAUGGGUUCCGUUUAUUGGAACUCUGUUUCUAUUUAUUUUUGUUUCGAAUUGGUCAGGGGCCCUUUUGCCUUGGAAAAUUAUAAAGUUACCUCAUGGGGAGUUAGCUGCACCCACAAAUGAUAUAAAUACUACUGUUGCAUUAGCUUUACUUACGUCAGUAGCCUAUUUCUAUGCGGGUAUUUCAAAAAAAGGAUUGGCCUAUUUUGGUAAAUACAUCCAACCAACAUUGGAAAAUUAUAAAGUUACCUCAUGGAGAGUUAGCUGCACCCACAAAUGAUAUAAAUACUACUGUUGCAUUAGCUUUACUUACGUCAGUAGCCUAUUUCUAUGCGGGUAUUUCAAAAAAAGGAUUGACCUAUUUUGGUAAAUACAUCCAACCAACGCCAAUCCUUUUACCGAUUAACAUCUUAGAAGAUUUCACAAAACCCUUAUCACUUAGUUUUCGACUUUUCGGAAAUAUAUUAGCGGAUGAAUUAGUAGUUGCUGUUCUUGUUUCGUUAGUAC
rnacentral:lncRNA from 1 species